AAAAAAGGAAUGUGGUGCAUCAUAUUACUAGUUUAACAUUCGCAGCCACGUGGGGCUCGCGCGUGUCCUCGUCCUCCAGGACCACGGCCUCAAUUGGAGAAUUGCUUGGCUACUACAGAAUUCAACUAACUGUGCCAUCAAACUCACCUAAUUGGCGAAUGUUGAAGUUCUUGCAUCUAACAAGACCCCAGCUUCGAGAAACUAAGGUAAUCCCACAUAUCAUACCGUGUGGACGCA